AAAAUGAUUAACAAUCUGUUCCUGGUUUUAAUUUACCUUCAACUUGAUUUACCAAAAAGCCUAAUCUGAUCAUCUUAUAUUUUGUUUGUUAUCUCAAAUCAACACUAAUCAAAUUAUAUUGAUUGUUUACUUUUCUCAUUGUCACCGGAAGUGUCCAUGAGCAAUAACUGUUAAUAGUUUUGCUUUUACAACAAUCUAUUUCCAACUGAGUACAAUCAACAUUAAUUUUGGACAUUCGUUGGACAUUUAAAAUCUUAAGGGUCAACUGUCCAUUGGUAUUACUUUUUCUCAUUAGGUAGUUAAUCACUACGGUGGGUCUUUGAUUGCUCCCUGUCAUCAUUUAAUUUGAUUCAUGAUCCAAAGGUGUAUCAACAUGAUUAUGACAACAAUCAAAUGAUUUUGUUUCUAGGAAAUGAAAAAAAAAACAUUGUCACUUGUUGUUGAUUAAUGAAAUGAAAAUUUGAUUAAAUAUCAGCUUUUAAUUUUA